rnacentral:rRNA from 1 species
UACGUAGGGUGCGAGCGUUAAUCGGAAUUACUGGGCGUAAAGCGUGCGCAGGCGGUUUUGUAAGCCAGAUGUGAAAUCCUCGGGCUUAACCUGGGAAUGGCAUUUGGGACUGCAAGGCUUGAGUGCGGCAGAGGAGACUGGAAUUCCUGGUGUAGCAGUGAAAUGCGUAGAUAUCAGGAGGAAUACCGAUGGCGAAGGCAGGUCUCUGGGCUGACACUGACGCUCAUGCACGAAAGCGUGGGGAGCAAACAGG